CAAACCAGAACGCAAGUAAAACUUAGUAAAAGAGCAAAUACCCACAAUCUGUUUCAGCUUGCUCUCUCUGUGUGAUGAUGAUGCCCGUUUACUCUAUCUGGUUUUAUUUUAGUGGUAGUGUUGUUUCUAGAUCUGGCUGCUCUGACUGGUUUCAUUUGGCCGCGAUUCCAAACUUGGAGUAAAUGAUAAAACAAAAGGCUUUUGUUUUGCCACCAAAACUCGGAAAUUCAACAUCAAAUCUCUCUAGAAGUUCUCCGAGGAUCAAUAUGCAUGGAGAAUUUAUUUUGCUGGCCUCAAUGUUAUUCUAUCAUGGACCAAGGAAGAGUCACAACACCUAGUAGUGUGGGAUUCUCGGUGUCUUGAAAAUUCAAAUCAAGAUUAACUGAAUAAUGCUUACAAAGGAACUGCUAUAAUGAGUCAUCCAACAAAUGUGAAGAUCCUGAUAAGAAAGGUUCUUGCAGUCGUAUCUUUUUGUUGAAUAUUAUGCAUUAGGCUAUGCGUCACUUAUUCUAUCUGUAAAAACUUCUGGAUUUGGUAGUAUCAUGGUGUUUCAGUUAUGCCAUGUUUUAGAGUGAUAUGCUGUUGAGUUUGUUUUUUCAUUUCCAGAAAGCUCUGAGAUUGAACUUCGAAUGCUUAAACACUGGACUUUAAAUGCACCUAAUUAAUCAA